CCUGAGCUGCAGGAGGAGAGCCUGCAGGCCUCCUGGGUAGAAUUACACAUUCACAAUAAUGGAAAUGAGAGCAGUGUUUCAACCUCAGUUUCUACUUAUAAUGGUGACAAGGAAAAAAUACUGCUGAAUUUUCAGCAUGACUCAAGAUAGAGAUAGCUCCAAAAGUUCUCACUAUGACAGCCCACCUCAUUCAGAAAAAAAUGGGAUAUUAAUAGGGUUUCUGAAACAGACACCUAAAGCUUUGGAGAGACAAACAGAUCUCCGUCUGAGCAAGAUUGAGAGAAAAAAGCUAAAACUAUCUUAAGAAAAAGCUCAGAUUAGAUGUAAGAUUGAUGAUGUCAGCCAGAAAAUAUUCCCCUGAAAGCAAUUUCUCUCUAAACACCCAAAGUGCACAGCUACUCUCUGCAUGAGAAACAUUAGCAUUAUGAAGAAAGGGGCAAAGUCUCAGAAGAAUUUUAUAGUUUCUUUUCUAUCUCUGCUGAUCCAUCAUCUCCUAGUCAUUGAAUAGGGGUUCUGUAUUGAAAUACAUCUGACAACUUCCCACAACACCUUCUGA
rnacentral:lncRNA from 1 species